CCAGCCCAGCCCAGCCCAGCCCACCACUUCCAUUUCCCACGCCCCACGCCCCACGCCCCGUCCUUUCAGCUUCUAAUCUGUUUCAUCUUCCAAAACAAAAAAACCCAUCUCCGUCUCUUCCAUCUCGCCGGCGACGGCGUGCCAAGAUGGCGCAGCCCGACGAGGGCAACGAGGCACUGGAUCGGGAGACCACCUCUCUGCCCACGGCUACUCCAAUCAGGCAAUUUCCAACGAUUGAGAUAACUGGCCAGCCCUCGAUGAGCAGCACACCGGCGGCCUCUGCAUCAGAAUCCUCUCUGCCCACAGCUACUCCAACCAUGCAAUUGCCAAGAACUGAGACUAAUGGCCAGCCGAGAAUGAGCAACACACCAGUGAAUAAUCAAGACAUACAAGAUGCAGAUAAUGUUCCAAGAGUUGGGAAGUGCUUUCAGUCUGAAGAAGAGGCGUACCAAUUUUACAAUUCUUAUGCUCAAACCAAGGGAUUUAGCAUUAGGAAGUGCCGCUUGAAGUUUAAGGCAGAUGGGACUUUAAGUUCCAGAUAUUUUGUUUGUAGCAAGGCAGGUGUGAAAAAUGCUAAUCCAACACAUGUGGCCAAGAAAGAACAAGCUAUUUCGAGGACUAAUUGUAUGGCUCGAGUGUUCAAUUCAGCAUCAAUCAAGAGGGAAUUUGGACUGCUCAGAAAGUUACGCUCGACCACAAUCACCAGCUUGUAAGUCCAGAUAAGAGGCACAUGCUUAGAUCGCAGCGUCAACUCUUAGAUGCCGAUCGCCACAUGAUUAAGCAAAUGAGGACAUCGGGAAUUAGACAAGCCGAAAUUUAUGAUUUUUGCGAGCUUUGGUAUGGUAAAGAUGCUAUACCCUUCUUGCAAAUGGAUUGCAACAAUUAUUUGCGAAGUGAGCGCUCAAAGUAUAUGGAAACCAAAGAUGCACAAACAUUAAUGGAGUAUCUAAAGAACAAGCAAGCUGAGGACCCUUCGUUUUUCUAUGCCAUGCAGUUAGAUGAUGAUGAUGGUACAAUAAUGAACAUCUUUUGGACUGAUGGACAAGCUAUCAUGGACUAUUCUGUCUUUGGAGAUGCCCUUUCCUUUGACACCACAUUUUCAACAAUGAUGCCAUUUAGAGCUCCUGAACGAAUAAAAGGUUCAAAGCAAAAAAAGAUCAAAAGAUGUGCUAGAGGGAGCAAAGAAAGGCAAAAAAAAAAGGAAAAGGUACAAACUAUCCGGCAAAGGAGUCCGUGUUUGUGCCGUCCGUAGCUGGCCCUUCCGAAUAUGGUUUUGGUGGUACUAUAAAUCCAUCAAUAUCCAUGGCAUUUGGAGAGUAUCCAUCAUUUUUAGGUCAACCUAUCCAAGGAGAAUUCACAAGACUAUUGCUUGAAGCUCAUGGAGAUGGCACAGCACCGCCGGGCGCUCGUCAACUGGAUUUCAGCGGUGGUGCUAGUACAUCAAGGUUUCAGCCAUGACGAGCCCGAUCGUGCGUUGAUGCAUAAUGUCUUGUUGGUUCCUCAAUGCUAGUUAGCUGGGCAUGUCAGCUAUAUGGUUUAUGUAUUUGGUUUACAUAAAACUGGAGCUAUCCUUUUAUUUUGCUGCUAUGUGUGUGUCACCUGACAAUGCUGAACAUCUGUUAUCAAACAUAUAUUCUAUUAAACUGAAGUUAUCAUUUUCUUCUACUGCUAUGUGCUAGUGUUUCACCUGAAGCUAUCAUUUUCUUCUGCUGCUAUGUGUGGACAAGAACAACUAUACAUUGCAAAUUCCACAAGCUUUCAUUCACACAGAAAUUCGUUUACAACAUAGGCCAGUCUUGUAAGAGAAUAAAAUUCAGAAAGGAAAAUACAGAAUAGUUGCCUUUGUUCAGGCUUUUACAGCUCAAAUCACACACAAAAAUCUACAGGAACUUGUUAGUUGAUGCUGUUUGGCGUGGCGCCGCGAGCUUGGCCGCCGGAAAACAUGGUGGGUGCCGGCGGGGAUGGAGAGCCACGAGCAGGCCGGCGUCGAGGAGCAUGCCGACGAGCAGCUACGAGCCUACGACGGUGCCGCGACCUGGGCCGCCAACGAACGCGGUCGUGCCCGCGGGAAUGGAGGACGUCGAGCAGGGGAGUUGGGUCCAGCGUCGAGGAGCACACCGGCGGCGAUGUGGCGAGCAGCCGGAGCGGAUCACGCCGGCGGCCGGAAUUGGGGGCGUUGGAGGAGUUGGGCUAGGGAUUUGAUGCACGCUCGACCUGGUCUUCGGUUCGGGAUAAGGUGACUCUGCGCUGAGAUUCGUGCUGCCAGAUGUCAUGCGCGCGAGGUGGUCUUCCGUUUGGCCUCGUGCGACCCGGUCGUACCAGAUUUUUUUCCCUCCGCCGUCGGCAUUUGGCGGACUCGGAGUGAGGGGCAAGGUCUCAACGCCGCAAGUCACCGUCGUCCUCCGCCUCCUGCCUGCCGUUGCUCGCACGCGCCGCUGUCCUCAGACCUCAGUCCCGGCCUCGCGCAGUCGACCAGCCGGUCACCGUCGUCCCUCAUCCCCUCCCCCUUCGCAGAUAUCUGGUGUGACAGGUGCCACUCAAGAGGCGACGCGCGCACACCAGCUGUUCGAAGAAAUGCAUCCCCGAAGUGUUUUCUACUCCCUCUGGCCCCAGCGAGAGACGACGCAUCGUCAAGAAUGACCUUUGGGUCUGUCUUUGAGAGGAGAGUGGCGUGGCCACUCAUGAGAUUGCGGACCAUGGGCGGUGCGCCCAUCCUGCAGCAGCUCCACCUGGUGGAAACGCUACUGCACCGCACCAGCCAUGACUGGUGCAUCGUCAAUGAUGGCACGGUUCUGCCCACCAUUUUCAUGGUUGUCUCUGGGUAAUGUCCUCUUGGUGUGUUCAGUAUGUUGUCUUUGUUCCUAGUAUGGUUGUUCAUAUGGGUUUUCAUGCCAACAAGAAGGUCUCUGAGUUGAGGUACAGCCUGUUCUUCGAGAUCAUGUGCCGGUGGAAGGCGGUUCAGUGGAGGUGGCACUGUCAUUGUUGAUCAGGGGAUGGUCAAUGUUCAUCGCCUUCAUAUGCAACAAGACUGCUGUCUCUGGGUUGCAGCCGUUUCCUCGAGACAUCAUGUCAUGGACAGGCCAGCUGUAUGGUUCCGUGGAUUCGGCGAAUUUCAUCUCCGUGAAAAUGGUCUGGAAUUGCUCAAAACACCAAGCAAAAUUUAGUGCCAGCAAACAGCAUUUCUCCCCAGGAAUCGGCUUAUUUCUGUCGAAACCCUGGCCAGCUAGCUUUCAUCCCCAAGUGGCAGAAUGACCGUUGAGUACGUCCCAGUCUUUCAUAGGCAAGGAACCAAACAGAUUUCCUGUGCCGCAUGAACGAGCAUCACGAUCAGUUUUCACCGAGGGGAUAACCGCGGCCCUCGGAGACCACUUUACGGUCCAACACAGAGCUAGAAACGGCGCUCUCCGACCACGACGACUUCGUGCCUUCUACGAACACGACGACUUCGUGCCUUCUACGAAGGUGCUAUCGCUGCAGGACUUGCAAGACAUCAUGUCCAAAGAGUCCCCCACAGCACAGAGGGUUCAAGGAUGGCCACGGUGAUGAAGAUAACUGCUUGUUUUGUGACACAUGGAGAUUUGUAUGCCGCAUGAUGAACUCGGCUUAGAGUUUAGGCGACACUCACUGCUGUCACGUGAUUUAGACAAAUCAAUCUAUCAGAAGUUGUAAUUCCGAUAUUUUUGGCAGCCUUGAUUUGGUGCUUCAAACUAUAGAACAUGCUUGGUUGGCAGGCCUGAAGCUGUGGUAUAGCUCACCUGCAGCAGGUUUACUGACAUUGUAUAGAAUUUGCGUCAAUGGCGAUCUGUAAAACCCAUAACGUGGAUGGAUCACUCCCUCUGUAAAAACAAUAUGAGAGCGUUUGUACUCA